rnacentral:rRNA from 1 species
UUGACCUCGGAUCAGGUAGGGAUACCCGCUGAACUUAAGCAUAUCAAUAAGCGGAGGAAAAGAAACCAACCGGGAUUGCCUCAGUAACGGCGAGUGAAGCGGCAAGAGCUCAAAUUUGAAAUCUGGCCCCUCCGGGGUCCGAGUUGUAAUUUGCAGAGGAUGCUUCGGGUGCGGCCCCUGUCUAAGUGCCCUGGAACGGGCCGUCAGAGAGGGUGAGAAUCCCGUCUUGGGCAGGGUGCCCGUGCCCGUGUGAAGCUCCUUCGACGAGUCGAGUUGUUUGGGAAUGCAGCUCAAAAUGGGUGGUAAAUUUCAUCUAAAGCUAAAUACCGGCCGGAGACCGAUAGCGCACAAGUAGAGUGAUCGAAAGAUGAAAAGCACUUUGAAAAGAGAGUUAAACAGCACGUGAAAUUGUUGAAAGGGAAGCGCUUGCAACCAGACUCGGCCUCGGGGUUCAGCCAGCAUUCGUGCUGGUGUACUUCCCCGGGGCCGGGCCAGCGUCGGUUUGGGCGGCCGGUCAAAGGCCCCAGGAAUGUAUCGUCCUCCGGGACGUCUUAUAGCCUGGGGUGCAAUGCGGCCAGCCUGGACCGAGGAACGCGCUUCGGCACGG